rnacentral:rRNA from 1 species
AGCGAACGCUGGCGGAAUGCUUAACACAUGCAAGUCGCACGGGGGCUUCGGCUUCAGUGGCGGACGGGUGAGUAACGCGUAGGAACGUGUCCUGGGAUGGGGGAUAACGCUGGGAAACUGGCGCUAAUACCGCAUAUCUCCUGAGGGAGAAAGCCGCGAGGCGUCUUGGGAGCGGCCUGCGUCCGAUUAGCUUGUUGGUUAGGUAAUGGCUGACCAAGGCGAUGAUCGGUAGCUGGUCUGAGAGGAUGAUCAGCCACACUGGGACUGAGACACGGCCCAGACUCCUACGGGAGGCAGCAGUGGGGAAUAUUGGACAAUGGGCGCAAGCCUGAUCCAGCAAUUCCGCGUGGGUGAAGAAGGUCUUCGGAUUGUAAAGCCCUUUCGGCGGGGACGAUGAUGACGGUACCCGCAGAAGAAGCCCCGGCUAACUUCGUG